rnacentral:rRNA from 1 species
GUGCCAGCAGCCGCGGUAAUACGUAGGGUGCGAGCGUUGUCCGGAAUUACUGGGCGUAAAGGGCUCGUAGGUGGUUUGUCGCGUCGUCUGUGAAAUUCCGGGGCUUAACUCCGGGCGUGCAGGCGAUACGGGCAUAACUUGAGUACUGUAGGGGUAACUGGAAUUCCUGGUGUAGCGGUGAAAUGCGCAGAUAUCAGGAGGAACACCGAUGGCGAAGGCAGGUUACUGGGCAGUUACUGACGCUGAGGAGCGAAAGCAUGGGUAGCGAACAGGAUUAGAUACCCUGGUAGUCCAUGCCGUAAACGGUGGGCGCUAGGUGUGAGUCCCUUCCACGGGGUUCGUGCCGUAGCUAACGCAUUAAGCGCCCCGCCUGGGGAGUACGGCCGCAAGGCUAAAACUCAAAGGAAUUGACGGGGGCCCGCACAAGCGGCGGAGCAUGUGGAUUAAUUCGAUGCAACGCGAAGAACCUUACCUGGGCUUGACAUACACCAGAUCGCCGUAGAGAUACGGUUUCCCUUUGUGGUUGGUGUACAGGUGGUGCAUGGUUGUCGUCAGCUCGUGUCGUGAGAUGUUGGGUUAAGUCCCGCAACGAGCGCAACCCUUGUCUUAUGUUGCCAGCAAUUUGGUUGGGGACUCGUGAGAGACUGCCGGGGUUAACUCGGAGGAAGGUGGGGAUGACGUCAAAUCAUCAUGCCCCUUAUGUCCAGGGCUUCACACAUGCUACAAUGGUCGGUACAACGCGUUUGCGAGCCUGUGAGGGUGAGCUAAUCGCUGAAAGCCGGUCGUAGUUCGGAUUGGGGUCUGCAACUCGACCCCAUGAAGUCGGAGUCGCUAGUAAUCGCAGAUCAGCAACGCUGCGGUGAAUACGUUCCCGGGCCUUGUACACACCGCCCGUCACGUCAUGAAAGUUGGUAACACCCGAAGCCAGUGGCCUGUCAAAGGGAGCUGUCGAAGGUGGGAUCGGCGAUUGGGACGAAGUCGUAACAAGGUA